rnacentral:rRNA from 1 species
GUUUGAUCCUGGCUCAGAACGAACGCUGGCGGCGUGCCUAACACAUGCAAGUCGAACGAGAAAGUUUCUUCGGAAACGAGUAAAGUGGCGCACGGGUGAGUAACACGUGAAUAAUCUGCCUUCGAGACUGGGAUAACUUGACGAAAGUUAAGCUAAUACCAGAUAAGACCACGCUUCACAAGGAGUGCGGGAAAAGGGAUCUCAAAUCCUGCUCGUAGAUGAGUUCGCGUACCAUUAGCUUGUUGGUGAGAUAAAAGCUCACCAAGGCGACGAUGGUUAGCCGGCCUGAGAGGGUGAUCGGCCACACUGGAACUGAGACACGGUCCAGACUCCUACGGGAGGCAGCAGUGGGGAAUCUUGCGCAAUGGGCGAAAGCCUGACGCAGCAACGCCGCGUGAGCGAUGAAGGCCUUCGGGUCGUAAAGCUCUGUCAAGUGGGAAGAACACAAUGACGGUACCACUAGAGGAAGCCCCGGCUAACUUCGUGCCAGCAGCCGCGGUAAUACGAAGGGGGCAAGCGUUGUUCGGAAUUAUUGGGCGUAAAGCGUAUGUAGGUGGUUUAUCAAGUCAGACGUGCAAGCCCUCGGCUCAACCGAGGAAUUGCGUUUGAAACUGAUAGACUUGAGUGUAGGAGAGGAAAGCGGAAUUCCCAGUGUAGCGGUGAAAUGCGUUGAUAUUGGGAAGAACACCGGUGGCGAACGCGGCUUUCUGGCCUGCUACUGACACUGAGAUACGAAAGCCAGGGGAGCAAAGGGGAUUAGAUACCCCCGUAGUC